AGAGUUUGAUCCUGGCUCAGGAUGAACGCUGGCGGCGUGCCUAACACAUGCAAGUCGAGCGAAGCAUACAGAAUGAAGUUUUCGGAUGGAUUUCUGUAUGACUGAGCGGCGGACGGGUGAGUAACGCGUGGGUAACCUGCCUUAUACAGGGGGAUAACAGUUAGAAAUGACUGCUAAUACCGCAUAAGCGCACAGUACUGCAUGGUACAGUGUGAAAAACUCCGGUGGUAUAAGAUGGACCCGCGUCUGAUUAGCCAGUUGGCGGGGUAACGGCCCACCAAAGCGACGAUCAGUAGCCGACCUGAGAGGGUGACCGGCCACAUUGGGACUGAGACACGGCCCAAACUCCUACGGGAGGCAGCAGUGGGGAAUAUUGCACAAUGGGGGAAACCCUGAUGCAGCAACGCCGCGUGAGUGAAGAAGUAUUUCGGUAUGUAAAGCUCUAUCAGCAGGGAAGAAGAUGACGGUACCUGAUCAAGAAGCCCCGGCUAACUACGUGCCAGCAGCCGCGGUAAUACGUAGGGGGCAAGCGUUAUCCGGAUUUACUGGGCGUAAAGCGAGUGUAGGUGGCUCAUUAGGUCACAUGUGAAAUCCCCGGGCUUAACCUGGGAACUGCAUGUGAUACUGGUGGUGCUAGAAUAUGUGAGAGGGAAGUAGAAUUCCAGGUGUAGCGGUGAAAUGCGUAGAGAUCUGGAGGAAUACCGAUGGCGAAGGCAGCUUCCUGGCAUAAUAUUGACACUGAGAUUCGAAAGCGUGGGUAGCAAACAGGAUUAGAUACCCUGGUAGUCCACGCCGUAAACGAUGUCUACUAGCCGUUGGGGUCCUUGAGACUUUAGUGGCGCAGUUAACGCGAUAAGUAGACCGCCUGGGGAGUACGGCCGCAAGGUUAAAACUCAAAUGAAUUGACGGGGGCCCGCACAAGCGGUGGAGCAUGUGGUUUAAUUCGAUGCAACGCGAAGAACCUUACCUGGUCUUGACAUAGUGAGAAUCCUGCAGAGAUGCGGGAGUGCCUUCGGGAAUUCACAUACAGGUGCUGCAUGGCUGUCGUCAGCUCGUGUCGUGAGAUGUUGGGUUAAGUCCCGCAACGAGCGCAACCCUUUUCCUUAUUUGCCAGCGGGUUAAGCCGGGAACUUUAAGGAUACUGCCAGUGACAAACUGGAGGAAGGCGGGGACGACGUCAAGUCAUCAUGGCCCUUACGACCAGGGCUACACACGUGCUACAAUGGUAGGUACAGAGGGUUGCUACACAGCGAUGUGAUGCUAAUCUCAAAAAGCCUAUCGUAGUCCGGAUUGGAGUCUGCAACUCGACUCCAUGAAGUCGGAAUCGCUAGUAAUCGCAGAUCAGAAUGCUGCGGUGAAUACGUUCCCGGGCCUUGCACUCACCGCCCGUCA
rnacentral:rRNA from 1 species